AAUAACAGGAACUUGUUGUGAUAAAGUGGCUGCGUAUGUGUUAGAGACUAGAGGUGGGUCUUGAUCUGGACGAACAUACCGUUCUGGAACUUGGGUGAUGGGUUGCUUUGCUAGCAGCUCCUUCACAGAAGGCACCAACAGAGAGGUUUCUCGGUAAGCCAUUAACUUAGCUGCCCCUUAUAAUGAGUCCAAGGCCUUUUGCUUGGAUGGAUUUUAAGAGUGAUAGUUGAAGUGAUAAGAAUCACCAAUUCAUUUUCAAUGUAGAGUGUUAGAGAGGAAUGAUUGAAAAAUUUAGCUAAUAAUUUCAAUGAAAAUGCAUCAACUGACCAAACCCCUGCCCAUCUUCUGGUGUUUUCCAAAGCUUCUUCUUUUCUUCUAUUGGAAGGUUGAAGAGGUCUUGAACACCUUUCUUCAUGUUUUCCACCAGUGAAGGAUUGACUCCAUGAUUAAUCAGCUGUAAUUAAUUUCAGAAAAUUUUUGCAAAACAAAUUAAGGUAUAUCAUCAUACAUGUAUUCCCUUGAUAAUAAAUCCCAAAUACAAUAGAUGCAGUAAUUCAUCAUGCGAGUGCGAAACCAAAUUAUCAGCACAGUCCUGAAUUUUUGUUUGGUAUACUAAAUUGCUCUCGGAGUUCUGACCGAGGAGAUGGUGAAGGCUAGAGGUCUCCCCGCGGCACUAAGGAUCAAACUUUCGAACUUAGCACCUAUUGGGUGUAACAAUCUUGAAUUAAGUAUAUAAAAGAUCAUCUAGGGUUUUCACUUUUGGUGUGCUAAAAGGAAUUCACAGCUAAAGGGCAUGAGACUAAUCCCUCAAGACUACUCUGAAAUGUCUCUCCUAACAAAUCAUUCUCCAUACACAACGCACAUGGAUCAAACCCUUAACUAAAUGUUUAUGGACAUCAAUUAUAAACCAAAUGUGCUGAACCUUGUUUCUAUUUCUUUCAGUUUUGAAAAUUGAUGUACCAUUUCAUAGGAAAGCCCAUAUAAUCAUAAUAAUAACAAACUAAUAUUUAAGAAAAUAAAAAAAGGUCUCAACAAAUUUUUAAAAAAUCUUAUUUUUGCUCCUUUAACAUUGGGAAAGAUAUAAUAUAAGGAAAAUUAACCUGGAAGAAACCCCAUUCUUUGCAGGCAUGGUCCAGCUUUUGUAGCUCAUGAGAAUCAUGUUCAGACAACAGUUUAUGCAGGUCAAUAACAGGAACUUGUUGUGAUAAAGUGGCUGCGUAUGUGUUAGAGACUAGAGGUGGGUCUUGAUCUGGACGAACAUACCGUUCUGGAACUUGGGUGAUGGGUUGCUUUGCUAGCAGCUCCUUCACAGAAGGCACCAACAGAGAGGUUUCUCGGUAAGCCAUUAACUUAGCUGCCCCUUAUAAUGAGUCCAAGGCCUUUUGC
rnacentral:lncRNA from 1 species